rnacentral:rRNA from 1 species
UACGGGGGGGGCAAGCGUUGUUCGGAAUUACUGGGCGUAAAGGGCUCGUAGGUGGCCAACUAAGUCGGACGUGAAAUCCCUCGGCUUAACCGGGGAACUGCGUCCGAUACUGGUUGGCUUGAGUUUGGGAGAGGGAUGCGGAAUUCCAGGUGUAGCGGUGAAAUGCGUAGAUAUCUGGAGGAAUACCGGUGGCGAAGGCGGCAUCCUGGACCGGCAUUGACGCUGAGGAGCGAAAGCCAGGGGAACAAACGGG